GCCCAGAUGGCGGAAUCGGUAGACGCGUUGGUCUCAAACACCAAUGGACGAAAGUUCGUGCCGGUUCGAUCCCGGCUCUGGGUACAA
rnacentral:tRNA from 4 species